ACAGAUCCGUGUAUGCUCCUAAGCAGUUAGAUCAGCCUUUUUGUAAAAAGGUGAAUCAACUCUGUUUAAUAUUCUUCAAACUGAAAAAAAAUACCAUUUUAGUCUAUACUCACAUAUCUUAAAAACAAUCAACGUAAAAUGCACAACAAAAUCAAAAAUACAACAAACAACAAAUCUUUAAAGAUUGGUUCUCCGAGAAAUAAAAAAAGUCAUCAGAUAUAAGAAACUGGAGAUGAUGACCUGUUCAAAGAAGAAAAAAUGAAACUAUGGCCCCUUGUCGUUUUAGCAAGAGUAAGAUGGUGAAAGAAAAAAAAAUCUAUGAAAUCCCAAAGAAUUAGAUAGAGAAGAACGCAUAAACCAGAGUUUGGGUUAAAGGAUGUGCUUAUGAGUAUAUAUCUAUGGUUUUAAGCGGUGGUGAUGGAUGUCAAUGGUACUCCACCUGUGAAGACAAAAGUGGAAAAAUAUGAACACCUAUAGUUUUAGAGAAGGUAGAUACAAUGGUGGGUUUUGAUGUCGAUUAGAGGUUGAUGUGGCAGUGUUACAUGUGAUGGUGACUAAUGAUGCCGGAGAGAGACUAUACAGGUCGGAUUGGAUCUCCGUCGGAUGUCGCUGACGAUUGCGAUGAAAAUAUGGCCGUUUGUAGCUCCGUAGUGUAGGAAUCGUUUACGGUGGUGAAUGAUUUUCUGAGAGAGAGAGAACGUAGGUUAUGC
rnacentral:lncRNA from 1 species